rnacentral:lncRNA from 1 species
CGAACAUCACGCUGUUCUCGGCCAUGUAGAAGAAGGUCUCCGCCCACACCUUCUGCGCCACCUCGAAGGUCCUCUCGAUGCCGUGCUCGCCAUCCAGAAGGAUCUCGGGCUCCACGAUCGGCACCAGACCAUUUUCCUAGCAUUUCAUUUCAUUUCCACAGAUAUAUGAGUUUUUCUACCGCGCGCUGAGAAUUCCGGCGUUGAGAAUGCAUGGGUGAAGUGAAGGAUAGGUACCUGUGAGAUGGCGGCGUAGCGGGCGAGGCCCCAGGCAGCUUCCUUCACGGCUAGUUGAGAUGGACCGUUGGGGAUGCUGACAACAGUGCGCCUGUGAUGUGACAACACAAGUUCACGUCACAUUAAGCAAACACGCAUCAUGGGGAUCACCACACACCAGGUACACAAAGUAACUGCGCCGCCAAUGUUUCUCACCAUUUGGCGAAGCGGGCACCGGCCUGGUAGUAGGCUGCCUCACGUGAAGCAAGGCCAUCGAGACCUUGGCACCAUGACUCGUUGUUGGAGCCAGCGAGUGGCACAAGACCCUGAGAUUGAGAGCAGAACAUGAGAGGAAUAAUGCUAAGUACUGCUCCUGGUCUUGAAGGAGGGCGAGACUCCAACUAGCUCCGACAGAUCUAAUUAAGAACCUACGGCAAUUAACACACGCAUACGUACGUAGUACAUACCUUGUCGACCUUGAUACCAGGCACGAUUCCCUGCUCACUAAGCACGUCGACGAUCUUCUUGCCGUCGACGGUCGACUGGUAGAGGGUCUCCUCGAAGAGGAUGGCACCAGAGAUGUACUGUCCCAGGCCUGGAGCGCUGACGAGGAGGGUCCUGUAGGCCUGGCGGUUGGCCUCGGUGUUCUCGAGGCCGAUGGAGUCGAGCCUCUUCCCGC